rnacentral:rRNA from 1 species
GCCUGUAAGACUGGGAUAACUCCGGGAAACCGGGGCUAAUACCGGAUGGUUGUUUGAACCGCAUGGUUCAGACAUAAAAGGUGGCUUCGGCUACCACUUACAGAUGGACCCGCGGCGCAUUAGCUAGUUGGUGAGGUAACGGCUCACCAAGGCAACGAUGCGUAGCCGACCUGAGAGGGUGAUCGGCCACACUGGGACUGAGACACGGCCCAGACUCCUACGGGAGGCAGCAGUAGGGAAUCUUCCGCAAUGGACGAAAGUCUGACGGAGCAACGCCGCGUGAGUGAUGAAGGUUUUCGGAUCGUAAAGCUCUGUUGUUAGGGAAGAACAAGUGCCGUUCAAAUAGGGCGGCACCUUGACGGUACCUAACCAGAAAGCCACGGCUAACUACGUGCCAGCAGCCGCGGUAAUACGUAGGUGGCAAGCGUUGUCCGGAAUUAUUGGGCGUAAAGGGCUCGCAGGCGGUUUCUUAAGUCUGAUGUGAAAGCCCCCGGCUCAACCGGGGAGGGUCAUUGGAAACUGGGGAACUUGAGUGCAGAAGAGGAGAGUGGAAUUCCACGUGUAGCGGUGAAAUGCGUAGAGAUGUGGAGGAACACCAGUGGCGAAGGCGACUCUCUGGUCUGUAACUGACGCUGAGGAGCGAAAGCGUGGGGAGCGAACAGGAUUAGAUACCCUGGUAGUCCACGCCGUAAACGAUGAGUGCUAAGUGUUAGGGGGUUUCCGCCCCUUAGUGCUGCAGCUAACGCAUUAAGCACUCCGCCUGGGGAGUACGGUCGCAAGACUGAAACUCAAAGGAAUUGACGGGGGCCCGCACAAGCGGUGGAGCAUGUGGUUUAAUUCGAAGCAACGCGAAGAACCUUACCAGGUCUUGACAUCCUCUGACAAUCCUAGAGAUAGGACGUCCCCUUCGGGGGCAGAGUGACAGGUGGUGCAUGGUUGUCGUCAGCUCGUGUCGUGAGAUGUUGGGUUAAGUCCCGCAACGAGCGCAACCCUUGAUCUUAGUUGCCAGCAUUCAGUUGGGCACUCUAAGGUGACUGCCGGUGACAAACCGGAGGAAGGUGGGGAUGACGUCAAAUCAUCAUGCCCCUUAUGACCUGGGCUACACACGUGCUACAAUGGACAGAACAAAGGGCAGCGAAACCGCGAGGUUAAGCCAAUCCCACAAAUCUGUUCUCAGUUCGGAUCGCAGUCU